rnacentral:lncRNA from 1 species
AUGGCCAAGUCCAAGAACCACACCACACACAACCAGUCCCAAAAAUGGCACAGAAAUGGUAUCAAGAAACCCGAAGCACAAAGAUACGAAUCUCUUAAGGGGGUGGACCCCAAGUUCCUGAGGAACAUGCAGUUUGCCAAGAAACACAACAAGAAGGGCCUAAAGAAGAUGCAGGCUAACAGUGCCAAGGCCAUGAGUGCACAUGCCAAGGCUAUCAAGGCCCUCCUAAAGCCCAAGGAGGUUAAGCCCAAGAUCCCAAAGGGUGUCAGCCGCAAGCUCAACUUGCCUACACUGUCCACCCCAAGCUUGGGAAGCAUGCUCGUGCCCGCAUUGCCAAGGGGCUCAGGGUGUGCUGGCCAAAGGCCAAGGACAAGGAUCAAACCAAGGCCCAGGCUGCAGCUCCAGCUUCAGUUCCAGCUCAGGCUCCCAAAGGUGCCCAGGCCCCUACAGAGGCUUCAGAGUAGAUAUCUCUAUCUGCCAACGUGA